UCUGGUUCAGGAUGAACGCUAGCUACAGGCUUAACACAUGCAAGUCAGGGGGCAGCAUGAGAUCAGCUUGCUGAUCUGAUGGCGACCGGCGCACGGGUGAGUAACGCGUAUCCAACCUUCCCCCUACUCAGGCAUAGCCCGGUGAAAACCGGAUUAACUCCUGAUAGUUUCACUAGAUGGCAUCUGACGGUGAAUAAAGCUCAGCGGUAAGGGAUGGGGGAUGCGUCUGAUUAGCUUGUUGGCGGGGUAACGGCCCACCAAGGCGACGAUCAGUAGGGUUCUGAGAGGAAGGUCCCCCACAUUGGAACUGAGACACGGUCCAAACUCCUACGGGAGGCAGCAGUGAGGAAUAUUGGUCAAUGGGCGCGAGCCUGAACCAGCCAAGUAGCGUGCAGGACGACGGCCCUAUGGGUUGUAAACUGCUUUUGUGCGGGAAUAAAGUCAGGGACGUGUCCCUGUUUGCAUGUACCGCAAGAAUAAGGACCGGCUAAUUCCGUGCCAGCAGCGGC
rnacentral:rRNA from 1 species